UGGGGAUGACGUCAAGUCAUCAUCGGCCCUUACGGCCUGGGCUACACACGUGCUACAAUGGUCGGUACAAAGGGUUGCCAAGCCGCGAGGUGGAGCUAAUCCCAAUAAAACCGAUCGUAGUCCGGAUCGCAGUCUGCAACUCGACUGCGUGAAGUCGGAAUCGCUAGUAAUCGUGAAUCAGAAUGUCACGGUGAAUACGUUCCCGGGCCUU
rnacentral:rRNA from 1 species